CCACAUUGGUCGUUCAUCCAGCGAGUACCACACUUCAUAGGCUAUGCAGAGGACCAAAGCAUGUAUUUGAAGUACACCAAAGAACCAUAUUACUAUGAAACCAACAUCACUGAUGAGGAUUAGGAGGAUGAAUCCUUUAUUUGAAUUAGAUUACCACUGAAAAAUGACAUCCGAACACCAAUUACUGGCAAAUCAAUAUUUGACUUGAUCAUGACUCAAGUGUAUGAUAAUAAUUUGAUGGUUUCAAGUUAUACAGAGAGGCCUGACAU